ACCCGCUGAACUUAAGCAUAUCAAUAAGCGGAGGAAAAGAAACCAACAGGGAUUGCCCCAGUAACGGCGAGUGAAGCGGCAACAGCUCAAAUUUGAAAUCUGGCCCCCCGCGGGCCCGAGUUGUACUUUGGAGAGGACGCUUCUGGCGCGGCGCCGUCCGAGUUCCCUGGAACGGGACGCCGGAGAGGGUGAGAGCCCCGUACGGGCGGCCGCCUAGCCUCUGCGAAGCUCCUUCGACGAGUCGAGUAGUUUGGGAAUGCUGCUCAAAAUGGGAGGUAAAUUUCUUCUAAAGCUAAAUACCGGCCAGAGACCGAUAGCGCACAAGUAGAGUGAUCGAAAGAUGAAAAGCACUUUGAAAAGAGGGUCAAACAGUACGUGAAAUUGUUGAAAGGGAAGCGCCUGUGGCCAGACUUGCGCCCCGCGGACCACCCGGCGCCUCGCGCGCCGGGGCACGCCAGCGGGGCGCAGGCCAGCAUCGGCUCUCUCGGGGGGACAAAGGCCGCGGGAACGUAGCGCCCUCGCGGCGUAUUAUAGCCCGCGGCGCCAUGCCCCCGGGGGGGCCGAGGACCGCGCUCCGGCAAGGAUGCUGGCGUAAUGGCCACCGGCGACCCGUCUUGAAACACGGACCAAGGAGUCAAGCAUUGGGGCGAGUGUCUGGGUGGCAAGCCCGCACGCGGAAUGAAAGUGAACGCAGGUGGGAGCUUCGGCGCACCACCGACCGAUCCUGAUGUCCUCGGAUGGAUUUGAGUAGGAGCCCCGCCGCUUGGACCCGAAAGAUGGUGAACUAUGCCUGUAUAGGGUGAAGCCAGAGGAAACUCUGGUGGAGGCCCGCAGCGGUUCUGACGUGCAAAUCGAUCGUCAAAUAUGGGCAUGGGGGCGAAAGACUAAUCGAACCAUCUAGUAGCUGGUUACCGCCGAAGUUUCCCUCAGGAUAGCAGUGUUGUUCUUCAGUUUUAUGAGGUAAAGCGAAUGAUUAGGGACCCGGGGGCGCUCUUCAGCCUUCAUCCAUUCUCAAACUUUAAAUAUGUAAGAAGCCCUUGUUGCUCCGGUGAACGUGGGCCUUCGAAUGCACCAACACUAGUGGGCCAUUUUUGGUAAGCAGAACUGGCGAUGCGGGAUGAACCGAACGCGGGGUUAAGGUGCCAGAGUGGACGCUCAUCAGACACCACAAAAGGCGUUAGUACAUCUUGACAGCAGGACGGUGGCCAUGGAAGUCGGAAUCCGCUAAGGACUGUGUAACAACUCACCUGCCGAAUGUACUAGCCCUGAAAAUGGAUGGCGCUCAAGCGUCCCACCCAUACCCCGCCCUCCGGGCAGAAGCGAGGCCCGGAGGAGUAGGCGGCCGUAGGGGUCCGUGACGAAGCCCAGGGCGCGAGCCCGGGUCGAACGGCCCCUAGUGCAGAUCUUGGUGGUAG
rnacentral:rRNA from 1 species